AGUAGUUAUCAGGUAAUUUGUUGGGGGGGUUCAUAGAUAAAACUAACACUUUUUUAUUUUUGUAAUAUAGUUGUCUCUCUUCUUAUCUUUUCAGUUUUCAUCCAUCUUUCCACCCUCUCUCUAACUUCAUAGCUUCACAAGAUAAAUUAAAAUGUCUGCUUUGCCCUUAGGCUUCUGGAAGGCACUGUUCUAGGCAUGAUGGAUAUGGAAAUUAACAAGUCAGAUGAGAUGCAUACCCUCUAGACACUCAUGUUCCAGUAAGAAGGACAGACGAUAAAGACAAAUAACCCUGGGCUUCGUCAGAAGGUGUGACACUUUGCACCUGCUUUCUGUAAAGAUGAGAUCUUAAAGCUGAAAUUUGGAGGCAGAAGAAUUGGCUUUUAGAGUUAAAGCAUUGUGCUACAAAAACAGGUUUGUAUUUUCCCUUGGACGGCUUGGAAACUGUCAGUGCAAUCCGGGGUAAGAAGGUGUGGAACCUAGAAAGACAGACGGUAAUCAAGUAAGUGGAUUUGAGGAAGGAAUCAAAGGAAAAUCAUUUCUUCUUGUUAAUGAUCAUAUAUUCCAGCACUGACUUCAAUUAAGUUAUCAAGAAAGUCAGCACAAGAAAAAUACUGAGUCUUAUCUCAUUUACUUCAUCAAUUGGAAAACCUUUCAAGUCACCAGGGUUAUGGUAUAAGGGGUGAGCUAUAAAUACAGAACUAUAGCCAUGCAGCCGUCAUGACUCAAGUUUUCCUCCUACUUUUAUAGUAGGUCCUAAAGCUACAUUUGCUGUUUCUCCUCAAACCUUAGUCAGCACCGAGAAAACUUAUGGGAAACCAAAUGAUUGAAGGAUAAAUUUCUGAGGCCUAAAAUCUCACUGAGACUUUGUAA